CCUACGGGAGGCAGCAGUGAGGAAUAUUGGUCAAUGGACGAGAGUCUGAACCAGCCAAGUAGCGUGAAGGAUGACUGCCCUAUGGGUUGUAAACUUCUUUUAUAUGGGAAUAAAAUGUUCCACGUGUGGGAUUUUGUAUGUACUUUAUGAAUAAGGAUCGGCUAACUCCGUGCCAGCAUCCGCGGUAAUACGGAGGAUCCGAGCGUUAUCCGGAUUUAUUGGGUUUAAAGGGAGCGUAGGUGGGUUGUUAAGUCAGUUGUGAAAGUUUGCGGCUCAACCGUAAAAUUGCAAUUGAAACUGGCAGCCUUGAGUACAGUAGAGGUGGGCGGAAUUCGUGGUGUAGCGGUGAAAUGCUUAGAUAUCACGAAGAACACCGAUUGCGAAGGCAGCUCACUGAACUGCAACUGACACUGAGGCUCGAAAGUGUGGGUAUCAAACAGGAUUAGAUACCCUAGUAGUC
rnacentral:rRNA from 1 species